rnacentral:tRNA from 3 species
GGAAAAGUUGCUAUAGGCAAGGCGAGAUAUUUGCUAAAUAUUGUGUAAUAACACUUAGAUGUUCGAAUCAUCUCUUUUCCG